UUAUUUAUUUUAUUAUAUUUAUUUUUUGUUUAUUUAAUUAUUUAAUAAAAAUAAUUUUGUUGAAUUUUGUCUUAGUAUAUUUUGUAGAAUUGAUUUUUUAGAUUAUAGUUUAUUGGUAAUGUAAUUGUUUUAUGAAAUAUUAUUUUAAGUUUUAAAAAGUAUAUUUUAUUUAUUGUACCUUUUGUAUCAGGGUUUAUCAAAAUUUUAGUAUUUACUUUACUUGUCUCGAUUUGGGUUGAUUUAUAAAUAAUUUACAGUUAAUGUGUUAUAAUUAUUAUUAAAUUAUUUAUGGAAAUGAGAUGUUAAUCGUUUCCCAAGAUAUCUAGUUUCUUAAGAAAAAUUUUAAUUUUUUAAAGUUAAUUGUUUUUAUUUAAUUUUUUAAUUAUAAAUAUUAACUUAUUAAUUCUUUAAGGGAUAAGCCUUGAAGUUGAUAACCUAUAAUUUGUUUUAUAAAAUAUAAUAGUAAGCUUUAAACCAGCUAUCUUUAAGAUUACGUUUUAGUUCAUUAUUUUCUAUUUUGAUUUUAUAAUUAUUUUAGGUUUUUUAUUAAGAUUAUUUAUUUAAUUUUAAAAUUUUUGUAAUAAUGAUAGAAUUAGUAUAUUUAUUUGUAUAUAAUUUUUACCUUGUGAAUUUAUUAUAAGGAACUAGGCAAAAUUGAUUUCCGCCUGUUUAUCAAAAACAUGUCCUCUUGAAAAAUAAUUUGAGGUCUGGCCUGCUCACUGAGCGGAUUUUUAAAGAGCCGCGGUAUUUUGACCGUGCAAAGGUAGCAUAAUCAUUAGUCUCUUAAUUAGUGGCUGGAAUGAAUGGCUUGACGAGAAAUCAACUGUCUCUUAAUAAAUUUUUGAAUUUAACUUUUGAGUCAAAAGGCUUAAAUUUUUCUUUAGGACGAGAAGMCCCUAUAGAGCUUAMCAUUUUACUUUUAUAUAGUUUUUGUUUGUCUUUCUAUAUUUAAUGGUGAUGUUUUGUUGGGGUGACAUGAAGAAUAAAUAAACUCUUCAUUAUUAUAUCAUUUAUUUAUGUUUGUUGUUUUGAUCCAUAAUUUAUGAUCAUAAGAUUAAGUUACCUUAGGGAUAACAGCGUAAUUGUUUUUGAGAGCUCAUAUUGACAAAGCAGAUUGCGACCUCGAUGUUGGAUUAAGAAAAAUUUUGGGUGC
rnacentral:rRNA from 1 species